ACGUAGGGUGCGAGCGUUAAUCGGAAUUACUGGGCGUAAAGCGUGCGCAGGCGGUUUGGUAAGUCAGAUGUGAAAUCCCCGGGCUCAACCUGGGAACUGCAUUUGAGACUGCCAGGCUGGAGUUUGGCAGAGGGGGGUGGAAUUCCACGUGUAGCAGUGAAAUGCGUAGAGAUGUGGAGGAACACCGAUGGCGAAGGCAGCCCCCUGGGCCAAUACUGACGCUCAUGCACGAAAGCGUGGGGAGCAAACAG
rnacentral:rRNA from 1 species